rnacentral:rRNA from 1 species
UACGUAGGGGGCUAGCGUUGUCCGGAAUCAUUGGGCGUAAAGAGCGUGUAGGCGGUCCGGUAAGUCCGUUGUGAAAGUCAGGGGCUCAACCCUUGAAUGCCGGCGGAUACUGUCGGGCUAGAGUCCGGAAGAGGAGAAUGGAAUUCCCGGUGUAGCGGUGAAAUGCGCAGAUAUCAGGAAGAACACCCGUGGCGAAGGCGGGUCUCUGGGCCUGUACUGACGCUGAGGAGCGAAAGCGUGGGGAGCGAACAGG